GCAACACAUGCCUGCCGCCUUAACUAGCGUCUUCAAAAACAAAAACGGGCUGAAUUUCAGCGUGGGAUUGUGCACAAUUUAAUUUAUGCCUGCAAAUCCAACCCUUAUAAUGUGUGGAAUUCCCGCACACAUUUUACAGCGAUGUAUGUUCAACCAACGUGGCCGGAACCACUGUGUCCGAGUGUCUUGACUUCGACCCUGAACACACCUGUAGAUCUGAACCUCCCGCUAGCAGAACACACAGUGCUUUUACAUGGGAUAGCUUGGAUUAAACCUUAUACCGAUUUUGCUACUCGAACGGACCAUGUCAAUUGCCCGAACGUACAUGGCCUUUAGAGAUCGGAUAAUGGCCGGAGCAUGGCUGAAUCCGCUACCCUAAGUGGCGCUGUAGCCCUUUCAUACAGUGGUUAUAGAACUUCUGGUUGACCUCUACUGUAAAAGAUGUAUGUUAAGUUGCACACUUCACGUUAGAAUGCAGUUGCAGGCUUACAUUCCCCAUGGGUAACUUUCUGUUUCCAUCUAUACGUGCUGUGAUGUAUGCAUGCUACAUAUGUUAUGUAUUCUCUGCAAUAAAUUCUUUUUGUGUUUAAUAGCAUCAUGUCGACGGCAGAAGGGACAUUAUCAUCCGUUGCUUAGUUGAGUAUCUUGGAGAGAGUGGAGAGGAGCUGAUCAAAGACUAUCAGUUUUCAGCACCAGUGUUUCCCCCAUGGGGACCUUCCACACUGGGACUAGUUCUGGUCUACCAACACGGGUGCAGUCCCAUAGAUAGCUCCAGCCUGGGUGGCUGGAGGGCUCUGCACCCCUGUGUGGAGCCUCCUGUCUGCCCGGGCCAGGGUGGUCACUGUGGCGGCACUCCCUAUGGUCGUGGGCGAUGACCCCUCUCAGUCUGGAUGGCCCCCAAAAGUGACUUUCUUUGGCUCAGGGUCAGCCUCUGUGAAGCACGUUGUGUAACUUUAUGACGUCAGCCAAGAAGCAGUGAAAGAGGACUGCAGUAAUCACAUGAUGCAGAUCAACGUCAUCCAUCCCAAUGUGGCACAGGAAAACCAAGAUCCUGUGUAUGUGUCAGUCAUCAUCAAGUGUGACAAACGCUUGCCUCCUGCUCAUGGGUGUCAUCUAUGCUGUAAACUUAAGUUACCCACUUAAACUGAAAUAUACGUUUGAAGUAUUUCAGAAGCUGUUUCUUGAGCUUGACGUCAUUACAAUGUCACCAAAGGUCCAGUUUCUCCACAAUAAACUUUUAGCGUGAGUGUUCCAGUGCUAUUUGUGCUUUUGUCCAGCACAAACAAUCUCUUUACUUUUGUCAUUUUUCUGACUGAAAUUUCAAGUUUUGCUUAGUUUUUAAGUUAUUUCUGUCCUGAACAUCCUGAGAAUGUCUGCAAAGGUAGCCAUUGCAGUUUAUGUAUGCAUUCUUUGCUGUUCUGAAAAGUCAACUGUAACACUGUAUUCGUUUGUAUGCUGGAAUAUCAGUCCUAAAGUCAGUUGGUGCUUUGUCAUUCCGCAUUGAAUUUUUCAAAUCCUAAACGGCUUUACUUUUGAGCUUUUGUGUGUGUGUGUGUGUGUGUG
ensembl:lncRNA